UACAGAGGGGGCAAGCGUUGUUCGGAAUUACUGGGCGUAAAGGGCGCGUAGGCGGCCUUCUAAGUCAGACGUGAAAUCCCCCGGCUUAACCUGGGAACUGCGUCUGAUACUGGGGGGCUUGAGUAUGGGAGAGGGAUGUAGAAUUCCAGGUGUAGCGGUGAAAUGCGUAGAUAUCUGGAGGAAUACCGGUGGCGAAGGCGGCAUCCUGGACCGGCAUUGACGCUGAGGCGCGAAAGCGUGGGGAGCAAACAGG
rnacentral:rRNA from 1 species